GUGGGUGUAGCUCAAUUGGUCAGAGCGCUAGACUGUGGCUCUAGAGGUUUUGCGGGUUCGAUCCCCGUCACCCACCCCA
rnacentral:tRNA from 1 species